GAUAUACUAUAUAUAUAUAUUUUUCCAGGUCACACUCAUCCACAAUUUGUGGAUUGAGUGAGUUUUUUGUAUAAUAUAACUUUUUUGUAAAAAAUCAAUGCUUGAAGGAAAAUCACAAAUUUCCAUUAAACGGAUUGGGUUGUGAGUGACUAAACAGGAUCCCAUUUUGUAGUUUUCUCAAAUUCUCUGCACUGCACUUAUAAAACAGCUAGCAACCCUAUCAAUUAAAAAAAAUUAACUAAGGGUACACUUCAUCUGGAAAACUUAAAAAUAUUGUAGGCAGGAGUCAGCUUUUCAAACAGCCCUAUUGUACAUUGCAAAUAUGAUCCCCAACUAUGUAUGUCUUUGAAUCUAUACAUUUUCUGGAGACUUUGCCAGUGCUGUGUAUUACUUAUAUUCAUAAAUCCUUGUGUGAAUCACAAUCUUUAUCACUGUUUUAG